ACAACACUUCUACCCAGACAUGAACAGGAACGGUGGAAGAAGCUCUAAGUCAACACAUUAGACAGGUGGAACUCAAACAAGAGGUUACAUUCUUCAAAGCAGCAAUGAUGAGCAGCAGCCGAGAACUCUUUGGGCAAUGGCUGGAUGAAGUGGGGUUCCCUUUCUUUCCUUCCCUCCUAUCCAAACUAUUCUUUUCUUCCUCCACUGGAGACACUCAAAGCAGAAAAACUGCACAGAAAGUGGCGAAAAGCCUGAACAAGAGGUUGAUGAACCAUCACCAUGGUGAAAUAAAACCCAGCAAAGACUAAGUGGACUCUUUCUUUUAUCUUUCUUUCCUCAAUUCAUACUAGUUAAACUUAAGUUAAUGAAGAUUUAUGU